GACGAAGGAUCCAAGCGUUAUCCGGAUUCAUUGGGUUUAAAGGGUGCGUAGGCGGCCCGGUAAGUCAGUGGUGAAAUCUCCUUGCUUAACAAGGAAACUGCCAUUGAUACUGCUGGGCUUGAGUACAGAUGCUGUGGGCGGAAUAUGACAUGUAGUGGUGAAAUACAUAGAGAUGUCGUAGAACACCGAUUGCGAAGGCAGCUCACAAAACUGUAACUGACGCUGAGGCACGAAAGUGCGGGGAUCAAACAGG
rnacentral:rRNA from 1 species